UACGAAGGGGGCUAGCGUUGCUCGGAAUCACUGGGCGUAAAGGGUGCGUAGGCGGGUCUUUUAAGUCAGGGGUGAAAUCCUGGAGCUCAACUCCAGAACUGCCUUUGAUACUGAAGAUCUUGAGUUCGGGAGAGGUGAGUGGAACUGCGAGUGUAGAGGUGAAAUUCGUAGAUAUUCGCAAGAACACCAGUGGCGAAGGCGGCUCACUGGCCCGAUACUGACGCUGAGGCACGAAAGCGUGGGGAUCAAACAGGAGUU
rnacentral:rRNA from 1 species